GACGAACGCUGGCGGCGUGCUUAACACAUGCAAGUCGAACGGAAAGGCCCUGCUUUUGUGGGGUGCUCGAGUGGCGAACGGGUGAGUAACACGUGAGUAACCUGCCCUUGACUUUGGGAUAACUUCAGGAAACUGGGGCUAAUACCGGAUAGGAGCUCCUGCUGCAUGGUGGGGGUUGGAAAGUUUCGGCGGUUGGGGAUGGACUCGCGGGUUAUCAGCUUGUUGGUGGGGUAGUGGCUUACCAAGGCUUUGACGGGUAGCCGGCCUGAGAGGGUGACCGGCCACAUUGGGACUGAGAUACGGCCCAGACUCCUACGGGAGGCAGCAGUGGGGAAUAUUGCACAAUGGGCGGAAGCCUGAUGCAGCAACGCCGCGUGCGGGAUGACGGCCUUCGGGUUGUAAACCGCUUUCGCCUGUGACGAGGCGUGAGUGACGGUAAUGGGUAAAGAAGCAACGGCUAACUACGUG
rnacentral:rRNA from 1 species